GAUGAACGCUGGCGGCGUGCCUAAUACAUGCAAGUCGAGCGAACGGACGAGAAGCUUGCUUUUCUGAUGUUAGCGGCGGACGGGUGAGUAACACGUGGAUAACCUACCUAUAAGACUGGGAUAACUUCGGGAAACCGGAGCUAAUACCGGAUAAUAUUUUGAACCGCAUGGUUCAAAAGUGAAGGACGGUCUUGCUGCCACUUAUAGAUGGAUCCGCGCUGCAUUAGCUAGUUGGUAAGGUAACGGCUUACCAAGGCAACGAUGCAUAGCCGACCUGAGAGGGUGAUCGGCCACACUGGAACUGAGACACGGUCCAGACUCCUACGGGAGGCAGCAGUAGGGAAUCUUCCGCAAUGGGCGAAAGCCUGACGGAGCAACGCCGCGUGAGUGAUGAAGGUCUUCGGAUCGUAAAACUCUGUUAUUAGGGAAGAACAUAUGUGUAAGUAACUGUGCACAUCUUGACGGUACCUAAUCAGAAAGCCACGGCUAACUACGUG
rnacentral:rRNA from 1 species